rnacentral:rRNA from 1 species
GGGGGGGGCAAGCGUUGUUCGGAAUUACUGGGCGUAAAGGGCUCGUAGGUGGCCAACUAAGUCAGACGUGAAAUCCCUCGGCUUAACCGGGGAACUGCGUCUGAUACUGGAUGGCUUGAGUUCGGGAGAGGGAUGCGGAAUUCCAGGUGUAGCGGUGAAAUGCGUAGAUAUCUGGAGGAACACCGGUGGCGAAGGCGGCAUCCUGGACCGACACUGACACUGAGGAGCGAAAGCCAGGGGAGCAAACGGGAUUAGAUACCCCGGUAGUCCUGGCCCUAAACGAUGAAUGCUUGGUGUGGCGGGUAUCGAUCCCUGCCGUGCCGAAGMUAACGCAUUAAGCAUUCCGCCUGGGGAGUACGGUCGCAA